GACGAACGCUGGCGGCGUGCUUAACACAUGCAAGUCGAACGGAAAGGCCCUGCUUUUGUGGGGUGCUCGAGUGGCGAACGGGUGAGUAACACGUGAGUAACCUGCCCUUGACUUUGGGAUAACUUCAGGAAACUGGGGCUAAUACCGGAUAGGAGCUCCUGCUGCAUGGUGGGGGUUGGAAAGUUUCGGCGGUUGGGGAUGGACUCGCGGCUUAUCAGCUUGUUGGUGGGGUAGUGGCUUACCAAGGCUUUGACGGGUAGCCGGCCUGAGAGGGUGACCGGCCACAUUGGGACUGAGAUACGGCCCAGACUCCUACGGGAGGCAGCAGUGGGGAAUAUUGCACAAUGGGCGGAAGCCUGAUGCAGCAACGCCGCGCGCGGGAUGACGGCCUUCGGGUUGUAAACCGCUUUCGCCUGUGACGAAGCGUGAGUGGCGGUAAUGGGUAAAGAAGCACCGGCUAACUACGUG
rnacentral:rRNA from 1 species